UGCGUAGGCGGGCUUGUGCGUCAGGGGUUAAAUCCCACGGCUUAACCGUGGAGCUGCCUUUGAUACGGCAAGUCUUGAGUGUGAGAGAGGAUGGUAGAAUUCCUGGUGUAGCGGUGAAAUGCGUAGAUAUCAGGAGGAAUACCAGUGGCGAAGGCGGCCAUCUGGCUCACUACUGACGCUGAGGCACGAAAGCGUGGGGAGCGAACAGGAUUAGAUACCCUGGUAGUCC
rnacentral:rRNA from 1 species